rnacentral:rRNA from 1 species
AGAGUUUGAUCAUGGCUCAGAACGAACGCUGGCGGCAGGCUUAACACAUGCAAGUCGAGCGGGGUCCUUCGGGGCUCAGCGGCGGACGGGUUAGUAACGCGUGGGAACGUGCCUUCUGCUCUGGAAUAGCCCUGGGAAACUGGGGGUAAUACCGGAUGUGCCCUGAGGGGGAAAGGUUUACCGGCAGGAGAUCGGCCCGCGUCUGAUUAGGUAGUUGGUGGGGUAACGGCCCACCAAGCCGACGAUCGGUAGCUGGUUUGAGAGGAUGAUCAGCAACACUGGGACUGAGACACGGCCCAGACUCCUACGGGAGGCAGCAGUGGGGAAUCUUAGACAAUGGGGGCAACCCUGAUCUAGCCAUGCCGCGUGGAUGAUGAAGGCCUUAGGGUCGUAAAGUCCUUUCGCCGGGGAAGAUAAUGACGGUACCCGGUAAAGAAGCCCCGGCUAACUCCGUGCCAGCAGCCGCGGUAAUACGGAGGGGGCUAGCGUUGUUCGGAAUGACUGGGCAUAAAGCGCGCGUAGGCGGAUCAUCAAGUCGGGGGUGAAAUCCCGGGGCUCAACCCCGGCACGGCCUUCGAGACUGGUGGUCUUGAGUUCGAGAGAGGUGAGUGGAAUUCCGAGUGUAGAGGUGAAAUUCGUAGAUAUUCGGAGGAACACCAGUGGCGAAGGCGGCUCACUGGCUCGACACUGACGCUGAGGU